UUCAUUAUUGCUCCUCUCAUUCCUCCAUUUCUUCAUUCCUAACCUUGAUGCUCGAACAUUGUAGUAUCCCUUCCGUAAGGCCUAGAGCUUCACACAUUACCGUUUGCACUCAAACACACCAUAUGGCAGUAUUUAACAUAAAUUCCCAUUCUCAAAUCAUAACUUCAUCUAGCUCGUCAACAAUUUCCCUUUGUAUUCC
rnacentral:lncRNA from 1 species